rnacentral:lncRNA from 1 species
UUUUUUUUUUUUUGAGACAGAGUCUCGCUCUGUUGCCCAGGCUGGAGUACAGUGGCACGAUCUUGGCUCACUGCAAUCUCUGCCUCCCAGGUUCAAGCAAUUCACCUGCCUCAGCCUCCCAAGUAGCUGGGACCACAGCACGUGCCACCCAGCCAAUUUUUGUAUUUUUAGUAGAGACAGGGUUUUGCCAUGUUGGCCAGGCUGGUCUCAAACUCCUGACUUCAAGUGAUCCACCCGCCUUGGCCUCCCAAAGUGCUGGGAUUACAGGCAUGAGCCACUGCACAUGGCCUGGUUACAUGAGUAAGUUCUUUAGUGGUGAUUUGUGAGAUUUUGGUGCACCCAUCACCCAAGCAGUAUACACUAUACCCUAUUGGUAGUCUUCAAUCCCUCGCCCCCUCCCAUGCUUCCCAAGUUCACAAAGUCCACUGUAUCAUUCUUAUGCCUUUGCAUCCUCAUAGCUUAGCUCCCACAUAUCAGUGAGAAUAUAUGAUGUUUGGUUUUCCAUUCCUGAGUUACUUCUCUUAGAGUAAUAGUCUCCAAUCUCAUCCAGGUCACUGCAAAUGCUGUUAAUUCAUUCCUUUUUAUGUAGAUGCACUAAAUUUUAAAAAUGAGUUACAUAUGUGCAAUGGUGUUAUGUAUAACCAAUAAUGUUUGAUAUAUUGUAUGUAUUUCAAAUGAAAGUUGGUUAUAUCCAUCAAACCAUGUAAAAAGGGUGAUGUGCAACUUGAAGCAAGUACCAAGAUUUAGCAGACAAUGACAAGAUCAAACAGCAAUUUAGAAAGAGAUACGAAGAAAUAUAUUUUUGAUGGAUUCCAUUUCUAAAGCCAUCUAAGCAAAAUCUAGGUCAACUUUUCACAAAACCCCACGGAAGGUAAGUCACAUUGAGAGGCUAGCUGGCAGGCCUCUAGCAUGUAGACAUAUAUUAUGGUUCAGGAAUAUUAAAGAAAUGUACUACUCAGCAAGAAUACCCAUAACUCUCCUAUAGAAGAGAACACUGAACAUAUUUAAGGCCAUUUGGACAGCUCAGAGCAAAAUAAGAGAAAUCCUGGUACCAUUGGGCUUAGAGCUAUCUUCCUUCUUCUAAACAAAAGGCAUGGAAAAAGGAAAAAUAUUUCUCCUUUGUACUUUAUCCCCAGAGAAGACACUGAUGUGGUUUGCUUCCCCCUUCCCUCCCCACACUGGGUUAGGUGGUUAUGAAAAGCAGAGCUCACCUGGAAAGAUUGGCACUGCGUUGGCUCAGAGACAGCCUGAGUGGAGCGCAUGAGAUGAGAGUGCCCACCAGAGCAGGAACAGGUGACCAGCCAUUCCAUUUGCUCAGGACUGCGGAGUUUCCUGGGACGUGGAACUCAGUACUAAAACCAAGAGAUGAGUUUAACUUCUUUGAGCCUUGGGUUUCUCAUGUGUUAAAUGGGAUAAUAGUGGUGCCUACAUUUUAAAUGAUACAAUACAUAUAAAGCACUAACUAGGAGCUUAUUAAUUGCUUAUUAAUUCUAUGGCUUAGGCUGGAGGGCAGUGGCGUGACAUCUCAGCUCACUGCAACCUCCGCUUCUCAGGUUCGAGCAAUGCCACAGCCUCCCAAGUAGCUGGGAUUACAGCCGUGUGCCACCACACCCGGCUAAUUUUUGUAUUUUUAGUAGAGACAGGGUUUCACCAUGUUGGCCAGCCUGGUCUCAAACUCCUGACCUCAAGUGAUCCGCCCGCCUCAGCCUCCCAAAGUGCUGGGAUUACAAGCGUGAGCCACCGUGCCUGGCCACUAGGAGGUUAAAAAGCAUUAGCUACUGUAUUGCUAUUAAUCUUUA